rnacentral:RNase_P_RNA from 1 species
UGGGUAGAGCAGACAAUCGCGUGUACGACGUACAUGAGGAAAGUCCGGGCUCCACAGGGCAAGGGUGCCAGAUAACGUCUGGCGUAGGUAACUAUAGGGAAAGUGCAACAGAAACAUUCCGCCGAAACAGUACGGCUGUGGUAAGGUUGAAAUGGUGAGGUAAGAGCUCACCGGCAGCAUGGAGACAUGCUGGCC